CAGCUGUAUUCAAGGAGGUAAUUUUGUCUUUUCCAUUCUUUGCCAGGGUAGUUGAUGCAGGACUGCUGGAGGGCUGAGGAGAAAUCUAAAUCUUCUUCCUGAACUGUCAAACUGUCAGAAACCUAUUUUAAAACUACGACCAUUUGAUGGGUUGGAGGAUGAACUAUACAUUCAUAUUUGUAUUAUUUAAAUGGAACAGUUGAGCAAGAUGACAGGCUGUUGAAUUAAAUAUAUUAAAUGUAUGUUUGCUAAUACUGGUAAGAUGGAAAAGCACUUUCAGCUUUCCCAACACAUUCAUAAAGGCUGUUUUGACAGCUUCCACUGUCUACACUUUGCACGUCUUAGCAUGGAGGCCCAUUUUUCUGCUCUUAAAAUACACACAGGCAUUACUUUCCAUUCAGUAAUGGUAUAGGCUGUUGUAGUUCCACAUUUUAGCUAAGGGAAGCUCCCAACUCUGGCUCUGUGGAGAGGAGAAGCUUUUCCCCAGCUUUCAUAGAUUCCAGUUACAGUUAUACAAUCAUUUCUUAGAGGCAGAGCUGCUCUGAAGGCAGACAUAAUCACAUUGGUUGAGUUAAACUUCAAUGGAUGCAGCCAAGGAAACAUAGCUUUGUAGCCUGGGAAAUUUGAAUGGUUUAAAAAUAUGAAUAUACAAUGAACUUGAAAGGUCAGUUAGGGUAAUUGACAACUUUUAUCAGCAUUAUUUCAAUUAGAAAAAAGAAAUAGAGAUAGACUUAAUGAUCUUAGUUUCAUGCUCUCUUACUUUUGCAUUGAGGUUUAAUGUUUCUAAGCCAGAAAAAAAAAAACUUAACCACCAAGAUUAUUUCUGCCCUCAGAGCAGCUAGCCUGCUGAGAGCUGUUUGCAAAACUAAAAGUCCAAUCUACUCUUGUGUCAGGGUUGCAGAGUGAUGGUUGGUGGUUCAUAUAAUAUGCUUGACUGGCUAGCAGUUUCACUGGCUUGGAAUGGACUGAAGUUAAAGCUGACCACAGAGUGAAGGAGGUUAACUCAUCUCCAUUAAUGCCUCAACAGCUAUGGUGUGGAGAGCUAAAUACAUUUGCAUUAUUUAUCCAUAAAAUGUAUAUUGCUUCAUAUGAUGACAUAGUUAGAGCUAAGAAUAUUGUGUUUAUUGGCAAGAGGUAAACCAGUGGAUUUAGUCAGUUCAGUUGUUUGGAUAAAACCAAAUUCAAAGCUCAUUUCCUUUUCUUUUGAGUACGCUAGCCUUCUCAAGUACUUUGAGUUAUCCCUCUUGUUUUUCUCGUCCCACGUCUCCGUGAGAUGACAAUUCCUGCUUCCAGCUGGAUCCAACUUUGAGCAAGUUGUAGCAAAGGCCAACUAUGUGGUUUGCAGUGUUUCAACACGCAGGCUAUGCCAGGCCCUCUUGGGUGUGAUCCACUGUUUUGUCAACAGCUUAUUUCUGUGGCCAUGAUUGCAGUUACAGAGCACUAAGUUACUGGUGCAGAAGCACGGGUUGUUUAUCAGAGUAUUAAGAACAAGACCUCUGAAUGAUUGUCUGAGGGAGGGAACACCUGACACAUUUCUUAUGUAAGGUUAUUUUCACAUUAUAUAUGGAUGAAAUGAGACAGAUGUUGUGCAAAUACAGUUUCAUGUUAUAGUGCAAGUACAUUUGGUACAUAGCACUAGGACAGGAACACAUUUAUUUAUUUAUGAAUGUUUUGUUGCAUUAUACUCUAUUAUUAAACAUUAAAAUAGACAUUUUAUAGCAAGAAAAGGUUGAAUUAAUAACUUUAACAGCGUGUCUUUUCCAUUUAGUUGGGUCGGUCAGCCAUGACAGUGAGCUAGCAUUUACAAUACCAGGCCCACAAACGAGUACACCUAAAUGGAACACAGCCCCAAAUACUGUGAUUAAAUACAGCUGCGCUAUUUCUGCUACGAUAGGUCAUGUUUGUUUUCGGAGGGGCGUUUUUGUUUUAGGCUAUAAGUAAUUGUUUUUCUCUUCUGGCCACAGUGGUGUAGAAGAGCUUCUAGAUGAGCUGACGGACUAAAUCCUCGACAUGUUGACACUUAAUAAAGUCGCGAUGGCUGACAUGUUAGCGAACAAGUGCCUAUUACAUAUUCAGCAGAAACAGAGCAACAUUAGCAUUGGUUUCUGGUCAGCUGACAGAGCCCCUUACAGUGCAGUGUAACCAUUGUGGAGUGGAAGAGCCGCUGAGGAGACAGGUUGACACCUCGCCGUUUAGAUGCUCUGCUGGGGACCUGCUGGGUCUUGGCCAUUCACUUGGAUGUUACUUUGACACAUACCACCCAACUUAACAUUGUUAAAGACCAAGGAUACCCCCCAAGGCUGAAUGUGCUCCCUGAUGGCAGCGGCCUCCCUAAGCUGGACGAUGCUCACUGCCACACCACAGAAACUGCUCAGAAACGGAUCAUGACAAAGAGCCCUGUUGACCUGUCCUCCGAACCCACCCUGAAUCUGAUUGAGCAUCUGCAGGAUGCACCAGAACAAGCCUGAUUUUCAAGUCCCCACGAUGCAACUCACAGGACCCAAAAGAUUGCUUGUUUUCACACUGUUAACUCUGUCCAGACAUCAGCAGUGUCAGCUUUGCAGGGAAAUUUUGACUAGAUGACACAGGCUGUCAAUAUAACAGACCUGCUCCUUGUUCUGUAUUUGUUUGCAUAUGGAGAAAUUUCUGUUUCUAUUUCCUUCUUAAAAAUUUGGUAAAUCAGCGAGCUGUGUAAUGUGUAUUUUAGGCUGUUAUUUGCCUUUCAAUAAAGCACAUUUUUCAACUGCCA